UACGUAGGGGGCGAGCGUUGUCCGGAAUCAUUGGGCGUAAAGCGCGUGUAGGCGGUCCGGUAAGUCCGCUGUGAAAGUCGGGGGGCUCAACCCUCGGAUGCCGGUGGAUACUGUCGGGCUUGAGUACGGAAGAGGCGAGUGGAAUUCCUGGUGUAGCGGUGAAAUGCGCAGAUAUCAGGAGGAACACCAAUUGCGAAGGCAGCUCGCUGGGACGUUACUGACGCUGAGACGCGAAAGCGUGGGGAGCAAACAGG
rnacentral:rRNA from 1 species